AGGCAUGCUGGAGGUAUCAGAAGUGCGAAUGCUGACAUAAGUAACGAUAAAGCGGGUGAAAAGCCCGCUCGCCGGAAGACCAAGGGUUCCUGUCCAACGUUAAUCGGGGCAGGGUGAGUCGACCCCUAAGGCGAGGCCGAAAGGCGUAGUCGAUGGGAAACAGGUUAAUAUUCCUGUACUUGGUGUUACUGCGAAGGGGGGACGGAGAAGGCUAUGUUGGCCGGGCGACGGUUGUCCCGGUUUAAGCGUGUAGGCUGGUUUUCCAGGCAAAUCCGGAAAAUCAAGGCUGAGGCGUGAUGACGAGGCACUACGGUGCUGAAGCAACAAAUGCCCUGCUUCCAGGAAAAGCCUCUAAGCAUCAGGUAACAUCAAAUCGUACCCCAAACCGACACAGGUGGUCAGGUAGAGAAUACCAAGGCGCUUGAGAGAACUCGGGUGAAGGAACUAGGCAAAAUGGUGCCGUAACUUCGGGAGAAGG
rnacentral:rRNA from 1 species